AUGACAGUCCUGGAAAUUGAAGUCUUCUAUCAAACUGCAGAACUCGCGCAGUAUGGAUGAAAAUACUGCCAGGUUCUGCCAUGCUGUCCUCUCAACGUGCCUCAGAUUUAACCUGGAAAAAUUAUUUCUGGUGGUAGCAGCACUUCAGCCUCAGUGCCUGGUCAUUUUUUCCUGCUUCA
ensembl:misc_RNA